UAGGGAAUCUUCGGCAAUGGGGGCAACCCUGACCGAGCAACGCCGCGUGAGUGAAGAAGGUUUUCGGAUCGUAAAGCUCUGUUGUAAGAGAAGAACGUGUGUGAGAGUGGAAAGUUCACACAGUGACGGUAACUUACCAGAAAGGGACGGCUAACUACGUGCCAGCAGCCGCGGUAAUACGUAGGUCCCGAGCGUUGUCCGGAUUUAUUGGGCGUAAAGCGAGCGCAGGCGGUUUCAUAAGUCUGAAGUUAAAGGCAGUGGCUUAACCAUUGUUCGCUUUGGAAACUGUUAAACUUGAGUGCAGAAGGGGAGAGUGGAAUUCCAUGUGUAGCGGUGAAAUGCGUAGAUAUAUGGAGGAACACCGGUGGCGAAAGCGGCUCUCUGGUCUGUAACUGACGCUGAGGCUCGAAAGCGUGGGGAGCAAACAGG
rnacentral:rRNA from 1 species